GUGGCUUCGGCGAUCUUCUCGGAGUCUCGGGUCCUGGACCUGAAGAUCCUGAGUCAUGGCUGCUUCCCGAGACUCUGAGAUCCACAAGGACGUUCAGAAUUACUAUGGGAAUGUACUGAAGACAUCUGCAGACCUCCAGACUAAUGCUUGUGUCACGUCAGCCAACCUGGUCCCCGAGUACAUCCGGGAAAGUCUGCAGAAUGUACAUGAAGAUGUUACUUCGAGGUAUUAUGGCUGUGGUCUGGUUGUUCCUGAGCGACUGGAAAACUGUCGGAUUUUGGAUCUGGGUUGUGGGAGCGGCAGGGAUUGCUAUGUGCUUAGCCAGCUGGUUGGUGAGAAGGGACAUGUCACCGGGAUAGACAUGACUAAGGUCCAGGUGGAAGUGGCUAAAACCUAUCUUGACUACCACACGGAAAAGUUUGGUUUCCAGGCACCCAAUGUGACUUUUCUUCAUGGCUGCAUUGAGAAGUUGGCAGAGGCUGGGCUCCAGAGUGAGAGCUAUGAUAUCGUUAUGUAGGGCAUUACGAUCAUUUCUGUUAUGAGUGAACACUGUUUCAUUUUGAGCACCUAUAUGCUACUGCUUUUUGAUGAACUGGCUUUCCUUUAGGGAAUUAAACGAAGCGUAGCUUGUCUUCAUAAAGGAAGGAGCAAGAAGGUCUCUGUAGUCUAUUAACAACAUGGCUGGGCUUCUCUAGCUUCUGGCACAACUGUGUGGCCAGGGAUAGCUGUGGAUACACCCCAACACAAAUGCAUAAGCUUAAAAUAAUGUGAGAUUUUUUUUGGUGGGGGUCACUCAAAUGUGCAUUUCUUGGUGUGAGUUUAGUAGCAGACAAUGCCACGUUGCAGUGUCAACACACCUGCCUGCCAAAGUAAAGCCAGUGAGCUCCCCAAACCAGGCAGACCAUGCGCUCCUGAAACACGCUCACCUCUUGUCUGCAGUUGUGGGGUUUUAAACUACAGAGACCUGUUGUAAGACGUUUGUUUUGGAGGAUUUUCUAUUUGUGGGAUCAUCAACAGGUACUCACCUAGACUUUGAUGACAGAGCUUACUGCACACUGUGGCUAUGUGGUAGUCAUAAAAUAGCCAACCUGGGGCUGCCAGGGCCCGAGGAGCAGAACAUCAGAUUAGUUCAGACACAGCAGGUGAUGAUAUCCACACUUGUGUUAGUCAUUCAAGAUAUGUGAGAUUGUUUUUGAAAGAAUCUAGCAGACUGGUUUUGGUUUUUUGGUUUUUGUUUUGGAUUUCGAGACAGAGUUUCUUUGUGUAGCUCUAGCUGUUCUAGAACUCAGGGUGUAGACAAGACUGGACAGGAACUCGUAGAGACUCAUAGAGAUCUGCCUACCUCAGCUUCCCAAGUGCUAAGUUUAAAGGUGUGUGCCCCGCUACCACCCAGCUCUAUCGGACAGUUUUACAGUGCUUUUUCUGGUAAGCAGAAUGAGUUCACCAUACAAUGAUAAUGAGAACACGGUAAGCAAAGGCCAGUGGCAUCAUUGCUCAUUAUCAGUUCAUAUGGUGUGUUGUGUGCCACCAAAUGCGAUGUCCUUUUUAAAGCUGGCAGCCAGUGAGGUGUUGACUCCAGCAUCCACACAGACACUUGUACUACUGAGUUGUUUUGGCUGUUGUGCCACUAGACUAUAGCAGGUGUUAUGUAGCUGGACUUCGGCUGCUUUGUGGGUUCACCUUUCUUCCACCCUUCUCUGUUUCCAACUUUUCAAUCCCCUAACUCUAGAUAGGAGAGAAAAAGGAAAAGAGGGGAAAGGGGACCAUGUUAUCAUUCCUGCUGAUUAGAGGUGUUGAAUUCCUUGGGGCAAGUUUGAUCUUUGCUGUCAGGAAAUCUAAUUUCUUAUUGUUGUUUCUUCUUUGUACAUGACUGCUUAACAAACCGAGACCAACAACAACCAACAGCAACCAGCCAUCAGCCUACCAACAAUCCCCCUAUUGGGGUCCUAGCAUUUAUAAACCCUCUGAAAAGUUUUCAGAAUUUCAAAUGUCACACAGUCGCUGAAACUAUCUGUAGCUGGCAAAAUCACACCCCUGCUUGAGCACGAGAUCCAAUUGUGUUAUCAACCUUGUUCCUGAUAAACAACAAGUCCUUCGGGAGGUCUAUCAAGUGCUGAAGCAUGGCGGGGAGCUCUAUUUCAGUGACGUCUACGCUAGCCUUGAAGUGCCAGAAGACAUCAAGUUGCACAAAGUUUUAUGGGGGGAAUGCCUGGGUGGUGCUCUGUACUGGAAGGAUCUUGCCGUCAUUGCCCAGAAAAUUGGGUUCUGCCCUCCACGUUUGGUCACUGCCAAUAUCAUUACGGUUGAAAACAAGGAACUAGAAAGGGUUCUUGGUGACUGUCUCUUUGUGUCUGCCACAUUCCGCCUCUUCAAACUCCCUAAGACAGAGGCAACAGAAAGAUGCCGAGUUGUUUACAAUGGAGGAAUCCUGGGGCAUGAAAAGGAGCUAAUCUUCGAUGCAAAUUUUACAUUCAAGGAAGGUGUAGCUGUUGAAGUGGAUGGGGAGACAGCAGCGGUCUUGAAGAACUCGCGUUUUGCUCACGAUUUUCUCUUCACGCCUGUUGAAGUCACCCUACCAGCUCCUCAGGGCUGUUCUGAGUUAGAAACAAAGGUUAUAAUCAGAGAUCCAUUCAAGCUUGCAGAGAAACCUGACAAGAUGAAGCUCGGACCUGCACCGGCAGGUGCUGGAGGCUGCUGUGGCAAAAGGCAAAGCUGCUAGCUGCUAUGGCCAGCACGGAGGGGCCCACCGUGCACGAGCCGGUGGCUGGAGAGCAGUCACAAAGGCUUCUUAGCCUGCUCUUCACCAGUGCACAAAUUAUGGGACGAUAGCAAAGCCACCGCAAUCUAGACCACUGCUAAGAAAAAGAGUGAUUUUUAAAGGGUGUUAAUUUAAGGUUCACAGCAAAUCGCUGGCUUUUCUAUUUCACUAUUUCAGAGUUCUGGUGCCCCCUAGUGCUCAGAAGUAGAACUUGGACGCCUAAGGUUUACUCAAAGGGCCAAAGGCAUCAAUCAACGUUGUGAGAAUGUCUUCCUUCCAGCCUACCACAGGACACCUUCGGGUUUGUCUCUGUGGCUGCCCAGGAAGCACAGUACUUACUAAAUUUAUGCUAACUAUGACAAAAAAUUGUUAACUCAAAUCUGGUAGGAGUAUGCUUCAGGUUGCUGUCUUCAAACUUUUUUUUCUAUAAUUGAAUGAAAAAGAAAAUAAAUGAAAAGUAAAUUU